AUUGUUUAAUCGAAAAGAUGAUUUAUUUUACAAAAUAGAAGAAAAGAUCAGGUCCACCAUAUGAAAAAGCAAAUGCAUCUCUUAAGUCAAUGGAAAAAAUCUUCUGCGAAAAACAGCCCACACACCAUUUCUUUUUCAAGAGAUUCCAAUCCUAUCCCUGGAACCAAAGCGAGAGAGGCCCCAAUCACAGACAUAUUUACAUGCUAUAUUACAUAUGCAACAAGGUGUGCAGUCCAGGGUAGGCAACACAUGAGACAACGCAAAAGGUAGCAGCACUUGAGUAGGCGAUACAGAAAGGGGGCAUGGAAUACUAAAAGCGGGAGGUGGACAAGUUGCCAUUCUCGGGAUGCUGCUGCUGCCGGUGCCGGUGCCGGUGCCAGUUGCAAGCCCAGCACCGCGGCGCAACCUCGGAGGGAGGGAGGGAGCCGCCAGCGCCAGCCAUGGCCUCUGUCUGUCUGUGGCUCCUCUGAGUUCGUUAUCCCGAUUACUUGUAUUCUUUCUGAUAAGUUAAGAAAGGUAGGGGGCAAGGAGGAGAAAAGGUUUGGCAUCGCUUUCAGGUAGGUUCCCUCUCCGGCUUGGCUUCAUGCAGCUGAUUAAGGUGAGACACACACGCAUGCACAGGUUUCACUUGGCCUUUGAGGCGCGCCAGGGGCUAGGACGAAGCUGGCCAGGGGCAACAUCGCAGUGGUCUCGUGCAUGGCCCACUGGUGGCUGGGCUAAUCUGAUUACUUGGUGGUGCCACUUGAUGAUUACUUGGUUGGGUGUGUGUAAUGACUUCGUAGUGACCUGCUGGAGGUUCAACUCGAGUCCUCAAUGGCCAGCAACCUAUGAGUGACCGUGUGGCAGCUGAGCUGAGCUGAGCUAACCACCACCACUUCAUCGUAUAUCACCAGCAGUUCUAGCUAGAUUGUUACUAUCUAUACCGCUUGAUGAUUGUCAGGUUACUAGCGACCUGCUAACGUUAAUAUUUUACGUUGCGGUUCAAAAUAGUUCUGUGCGUAAUUAUUUUCUA
rnacentral:lncRNA from 1 species